CAUUAUCCCUGAUGAGAACAUCUGUCAGGAGGAAGAGCUGAUAGUGGAGGCGAGCGCCAACACCCGCCCCUGCCACUACCAGGCGUCACCUGAAGAGACUGGCACCAACACCAGCCAGGACGAGGGCUCAGUAACGGAACUGAGCCAAGAGGAUGAGAGCGGAGUCCCUCAGUGUAACACCUGUGAGGAGACUCCCCAAAUCCCUGAUGUCAACAUCUGUCAGG